rnacentral:rRNA from 1 species
ACUCCUACGGGAGGCAGCAGUGGGGAAUUUUGGACAAUGGGGGCAACCCUGAUCCAGCAAUGCCGCGUGAGUGAAGAAGGCCUUCGGGUUGUAAAGCUCUUUUGUCAGGGAAGAAACGGUUCUGGCCAAUACCCGGAGCUAAUGACGGUACCUGAAGAAUAAGCACCGGCUAACUACGUGCCAGCAGCCGCGGUAAUAGGUAGGGUGCAAGCGUUAAUCGGAAUUACUGGGCGUAAAGCGUGCGCAGGCGGUUGUGCAAGACCGAUGUGAAAUCCCCGGGCUUAACCUGGGAAUGGCAUUGGUGACUGCACGGCUAGAGUGUGUCAGAGGGGGGUAGAAUUCCACGUGUAGCAGUGAAAUGCGUAGAGAUGUGGAGGAAUACCGAUGGCGAAGGCAGCCCCCUGGGAUAACACUGACGCUCAUGCACGAAAGCGUGGGGAGCAAACAGGAUUAGAUACCCUGGUAGUCCACGCCCUGAACGAUGUCAACUAGUUGUCGGGUCUUAAUUGACUUGGUAACGCAGCUAACGCGUGAAGUUGACCGCCUGGGGAGUACGGUCGCAAGAUUAAAACUCAAAGGAAUUGACGGGGACCCGCACAAGCGGUGGAUGAUGUGGAUUAAUUCGAUGCAACGCGAAAAACCUUACCUACCCUUGACAUGUACGGAAGCCCCGAGAGAUCGGGGCGUGCUCGAAAGAGAGCCGUAACACAGGUGCUGCAUGGCUGUCGUCAGCUCGUGUCGUGAGAUGUUGGGUUAAGUCCCGCAACGAGCGCAACCCUUGUCAUUAGUUGCUACAUUUGGUUGGGCACUCUAAUGAGACUGCCGGUGACAAACCGGAGGAAGGUGGGGAUGACGUUAAGUCCUCAUGGCCCUUAUGGGUAGGGCUUCACACGUCAUACAAUGGUACAUACAGAGGGCCGCCAACCCGCGAGGGGGAGCUAAUCCCAGAAAGUGUAUCGUAGUCCGGAUUGCAGUCUGCAACUCGACUGCAUGAAGUUGGAAUCGCUAGUAA